GACGAACCGUGCGAACGUUGUUCGGAUUCACUGGGCUUAAAGGGCGCGUAGGCGGGUUCCCAAGUCGGGGGUGAAAUCCCACGGCCCAACCGUGGAAGAGCUUCCGAUACUGGGAGUCUGGAGGGAGGUAGGGGCGUGUGGAACUUCCGGUGGAGCGGUGAAAUGCGUAGAUAUCGGAAGGAACGCCGGUGGCGAAAGCGACGCGCUGGACCUCUUCUGACGCUGAGGCGCGAAAGCCAGGGGAGCAAACGGG
rnacentral:rRNA from 1 species